rnacentral:tRNA from 1 species
AGUCUUAUAAUCAAUAAUGAUAUAAAAUUGCAAAUUUUAAAGAGUAGAAUAAAUUCUAUUAAGGCUU